CAUGCAAGUCGAACGAAGUAGCAAUACUUAGUGGCAGACGGGUGAGUAACAUGUAGGUAUCUGCCCUUUGGCCUGGAAUAACACGAGGAAACUUGUGCUAAUACCGGAUAAGUCUUUACGGAGAAAGCUUUAUGCACCAUUGGAUGAGCCUGCACUUGAUUAGUUUGUUGGUGGGGUAAUGGCCUACCAAGACUGUGAUCAAUAGCUGAUUUGAGAGGAUGAUCAGCCACAUUGGGACUGAGACACGGCCCAAACUCCUACGGGAGGCAGCAGUGGGGAAUCUUGCACAAUGGAGGAAACUCUGAUGCAGCGAUGCCGCGUGAGUGAAGAAGGCCUUUGGGUUGUAAAGCUCUUUCGUCGGGGAAGAAAAUGACUGUACCCGAAUAAG
rnacentral:rRNA from 1 species